CCACAUCACAUUGGAACACUGGUUCCCGUAUGAUCAUCAAAGUUAAGCAAUGUGAGGCCUGGCCAAUACCUAAAUGUGUGACCACUUGGGAAUACCAUGUGAUGUAA